UACGAAGGGGGCUAGCGUUGUUCGGAAUUACUGGGCGUAAAGCGCGCGCAGGUGGUCUUUCAAGUCAGUGGUGAAAGCCCGGAGCUCAACUCUGGAAAUGCCAUUGAAACUGUGAGACUUGAGGACGAGAGAGGUGAGUGGAAUUCCCAGUGUAGAGGUGAAAUUCGUAGAUAUUGGGAAGAACACCGGUGGCGAAGGCGGCUCACUGGCUCGUAUCUGACGCUCAGGCGCGACAGCGUGGGGAUCAAACAGG
rnacentral:rRNA from 1 species